GUCCGGUUCAGAAGGACGCAUGCUUUGAAUCAUAUCAUAAUCACAAAAGUAUAAAAAUUAAAUUGAAUUAAACCAAAAAUCAAGUCAGCUUUGAUAAAUUAAUCCCGAUCAAGGCAACCCAACAUCUAUUUUGUUAUAUUCAAUUCAGUCUAGCACCAGAGUCCGAUUGAAAAACACCUAAAUUUUCUGUAUAUUUAAAUCUUCAAAAUGUUUAUUGGUCCGGUUCAGAAAGAACACCUGCACGAUAUGAUCCUUGGCUGUGGUUGGCCGUGUGGAUCGUUGGGCGGUUCUUGUAAGAGCAACGGUGGCUGUUGAUUGUCAACGAAUCGAUGCGUCUAAGGCUGGAUCAAAUGCAUGAAAACAGAUGCGACGACUCACCUACAUUAUGUAUAUACCUUAAAGUUCAGGCGUAGUUAGUUAAAUAUUUAAAUAAAUGCAAUAGUAUAGACUAA